AUUGAACGCUGGCAGCAUGCUUUACACAUGCAAGUCGAGCGGCAGCGCGGGGCAACCUGGCGGCGAGCGGCGAACGGGUGAGUAAUGCAUCGGAACGUGUCCCGUAGUGGGGGAUAACCCGGCGAAAGCCGGACUAAUACCGCAUAUGCUCCACGGAGGAAAGGGGGGGAUCCGCAAGGACCUCUCGCUAUGGGAGCGGCCGAUGUCCGAUUAGCUUGUUGGUGAGGUAAUGGCUUACCAAGGCGACGAUCGGUAGCUGGUCUGAGAGGAUGCUCAGCCAAACUGGAACUGCGACACCGCCCAGACUCCUACGGGAGGCAGCAGUGGGGAAUUUUGGCCAAUGGGGGCAACCCUGAUCCAGCCAUGCCGCGUGCGGGAAGAGGGCCUUCGGGUUGUAAACCGCUUUUGUCCGGAAAGAAAAGGCGCCCCCUAAUACGGGGCGUUCUUGACGGUACCGGAAGAAUAAGCACCGGCUAACUACGUGCCAGCCGCCGCGGUAAUAC
rnacentral:rRNA from 1 species